AUCUCCCACAAGGCUUCAGGAUGUUACCAUGGUUACUGGUUCCCAACUGCCAGCCAGCCUAUUUAUGUUAAUCAUUUUUGUGUUAUCGUUGUCGUCGUCGUCGUCGUCGUCGUCGUCAUCAUCAUCAUCAUCAUCAUUAUUGUGCCAGUCAUAAAUGACAGUCUUUGGUGUUGUCCGGGUUGAAUCUGAAGCUCGCUGUUUGGGCUGGCUGGCCAGUGAACCCCCAGGAUCCGCUCGUCUCUGCUCCAUGACGUUGAGGCUGCAGACAUCUGAUGCCAUGCUUGGCUUUUACAAGGGUGCUAGAGAUUUGAGCUUGGGUUCUGGUGUUCGCACAUGUACAAGCUUCUUACUGAGCCCUGUCCCAGCGUCUGUUCUACGGUGAAACAACCGAGCAUGUAACUGGAGUCAGGGUGGAAAAGUUGUGUGACUGUUUGCAGUAGAACAAAGGAGUGUGGUCAGGGUGGAAAACUGGCUGAAUUAAGCAAUCGGUACAAGAAUUUCCCACUUGUGACUUAGGGCCAUAAACUACAGUGAGGCUUGGAUGCUGCAGGAGUGUGCCAACUGCUCGAGUGGUUAGUGAGAUGUGCUGAUCCUGGGAGCAUGAAGAUUCAGCUCUCCCGGUUCGGGUCCCUGGAGUCAUUCCUGUGCCCUUGGAGGAAGAUGAAGGAUUCCCCCUCACCUUUGUUAUCACAGAUAUUUCGGCAUUGCUGCAGUCAUUGUUACUGCCGCACGUGUCCCGUCCGACCACAGCCUGCGCUCCUACCCUCUGUGCACCGCUGCUUGCCGGAGAAGACUGGACUCCAGCUGUUACCCUUGCCCCUCCUCAUUCCCCUGGCAACUGUUGCCCCUGUGACUGGUGUUGCCAUUUUUCAGUCUGUGGCUUCACAAGAAUGCCAUCUGUGUGAAACUGCUGGAGACCAGGGAACUGUGCUCUGGUUAUGUGGAUCUCCAACAUGUUCCAUUGCCUGCUGGUUGUUCCAGAGAAGGAUGGCCAAUCCUGAACUGUCCUGGGAAAGACUUUGGCAUUUUCGCUGCUAUUGUAGCAGUCAUUUACUGCUGCAGUCACUGGAUCUGCAGUGUCUGGAGUUACCCUCUCCCAAUCUAUUGUUAGGCAAGCACAGUGGGUAAACUUUCUGGAGUAGUUGUUGACAAAUGGGAAUUCUAAAUUUUAAUACAGGAAUGGCUUGACAAUGACCCUCAGUGUUAUGGCCCUCCGAGUUUCAGCCCUAGGGCACCGCACUAAUCGGCCUUGUGCUUCUUAUCAUAUGCACAAACAGCACUCCCAGUCCCGGGCAGCAACUAAGCAGGUGUUGUUCUCCUUGGUAGGAGACAAACCUUCUGCCCAAAUUGGGCUCAGCCUUCACAAGAAGCAGUUAGCUGAGGAUGGGGAACUCUUUGGGACCAGUCCUUGCCUAAGACAGGAAAUUCUGAGACUGGCAGAAUUUUCCAGAGAUGGGAAAGAGGCUUGAUAGCUCAAAGUGUCCUAAGACAGGCGCUGCUUAAAAUUAAUAUAGGGGGACUUGCUUAAUAAAAAAAUAAAAUAGGGGAACUUGUCAGAGCCUCCUGGGUCCCCUGUAGUGUUUUACCCCCCCCCCCCUGGUCAGGCCCUUCUGGGUCCCUUGCAGGGUUUGACCCCUGCUGAGCCCUGUUGAUGCACAUGGAAGCCUUUUGUUCCUAACGAGGAGCAGUCUGGCCCAGAGUGACACACCUGGGCAAAGGUCAAUUCGUUCCUGUCUUUGUCUUCCCAGUCUUUUGUUUUUGAGAUUUAGGCUGGUCUUCCUGGAUUUCUCCCCAGUAAAUUAGGGGCACCAAUGUCUUGAACCGGGGUCUCCCACGGUGCUUCCCAGAUUUUUCCACCUAGUCAACCUGGGGUAGAUAUUUGGAAAAUAAAGCUACAGAAGGAGCAUUCUUUCUUAACACGGA